AUGGCGCCGAUACGCGUGCUCACGGCGCUGGACCACGCCCGCACGCAGUACUACCACUUCAAGGCCAUCAUCAUCGCCGGCAUGGGCCUCUUCACCGACUCCUACGACCUCUUCUGCAUCGUGCCCGUCAUGAAGAUCAUCGGGCGCGUGUACUACCCUUCGCCCGCCGGCGACGGGAGGCCGGGCGUGACGCCGCCCGCCGUCGUCUCGGCCACGGUCGGCGUCGCCCUGCUGGGCGCGGUGGUCGGGAACCUCCUCUUCGGCGCGCUCGGCGACCGCGUCGGGCGCCGGCGCGUCUACGGCCCGUGCCUUCUGCUGCUGGUGUGCAGCUCCGUCGGGAGCGGCUUCUCCAUCUGCCGCACGCGCCGCUGCGUGCUCUCCAGCCUCUGCUUCUUCCGCUUCAUCCUCGGGGUGGGCGUCGGGGGAGACUACCCGCUGUCCGCGACCAUCAUGUCGGAGUUCGCCAACAAGCGCACGCGGGGAGCGUUCAUCGCCGCCGUGUUCUCCAUGCAAGGGUUUGGGAUACUGGCCAGCUCCGGCGUCACCAUGGUCGUCGCCGCCGCGUUCGACCGGUUCGCGGGCCACCCGGACCCGCUCGACACUCCGGAGGCCGCCGACCUCGCCUGGCGCGUCAUACUCAUGGCCGGCGCCGUCCCUGCCGGGCUCACCUUCUACUGGAGGAUGGCCAUGCCAGAAACAGCCAGGUUUACGGCGCUGGUACAGCGCGACGUGCUCAAGGCGACCAGCGACAUGGGCUGCGUCCUCACCGACCUCGACCUGAACGCGAUGUACGAGGGGGAGGACGCGGCGGCCAUGCCCCGCACCCCGGCGCCGUUCGGGUACGCGCCGGCCGCUCAGUACGGCCUCUUCUCCCGCGGGUUCCUACGGGAGCACGGCCGGAACCUCUUCGGGUGCGCGGCGACGUGGUUCCUGCUCGACAUCCCCUACUACAGCAGCACCCUGUUCCAGUCCCAGAUCUACCGGCCGUGGUUCCCGCCGGCGAGCCACCAGAACGUGUUCCAGGAGGCGUACAACGUCGCCAGGUUCCAGGCCAUCAUCGCAGUCGCCUCCACCAUCCCGGGAUACUUCGCCGCCGUCCUGCUCAUCGACCGCACCGGCCGGCGCCGCCUGCAGAUGGCCGGCUUCUUCCUCAUGGCCGCGUUCCUCUUCGCGCUCGCGGGCCCGUACGACCACUACUGGCGCGGCAACGCCAAGAACGCCUGGUACAUCGUGCUCUACGCGCUCACCUUCUUCUCCGCCAACCUCGGGCCCAACACCACCACCUUCAUCCUGCCGGCCGAGCUCUUCCCGGCGCGGUUCCGGUCCACGUGCCACGGGAUAUCCGCCGCCGCCGGGAAGGUCGGCGCGCUCGUUGGCUCGGUGGGGUUCCUUUGGGCGUCGCAGUCGCGGGACAGGGGAGAUGUGCAGGCCGGGUACGAGCCCGGCAUCGGCAUGAUGUACGCGCUCAUCAUUCUUGGAGCCAUCAGCCUGCUCGGGCUCGUCGUCACCUACUUCUUCACGCCGGAGACGAUGAGGCGGUCGCUGGAGGAGAACGAGAGCGAGCGGGACCAGAACCAGGACGGCGACGGCGGGAUGUGCUUCCAGGAACUAACUCUGACGCCCAAGAGCCCGGGGUCCUUGGUGAGCUCGCACGUCAGCACCUCGCCCAUCCAUCCGCACCGCUUUUCGGUAUGA
rnacentral:rRNA from 1 species